GCCCGGAUAGCGCAAUUGGUUAACGCGUUAGACUUCUAUUCCUCCUAGCAAUAGGAAGCAAUACGAUAUCUGAAGAUUGUGGGUUCGACUCCCACUUCGGGUG
rfam:Sugiyamaella lignohabitans strain CBS 10342 chromosome A, complete sequence.